AGCUUUGCACAGUAGCAGUGUCGCAGUCAAUGAGGUUUAUCCAAGGCACGGUUAUGGCUAAUUGAAAACUUUUCCCAAUACCCCAUUCGUGACGACUUGAGAGAAAAAUGAGUAGCAAAAAUUUUCAAAAGAAUCUGUAAAUAUUAUACAAUA
rnacentral:snRNA from 1 species